AGAACUAAUAGCAUGAGAAAUCAAAUGAAAGAGUAACGUCUGGAAGGGUUUCCCUUAAUACUCCGAAUUGCUUUUGAAUAGAUAAAUAUUCAAUGGUAAUAAGCUCGGUGAAGUCGGCUGAGAGUACACCCUAAUGUUAAUCAUUCGAUUAGACAAGGAAAUGCGAACUAGAGGUAGUCGAGUGUAUGAUAGGUCGGAGGUCUAUAAA
rnacentral:ncRNA from 1 species